rnacentral:misc_RNA from 1 species
GAAAUGCGAUAAGUAGUGUGAAUUGCAGAAUUCAGUGAAUCAUCGAAUCUUUGAACGCACAUUGCGCCCUUUGGUAUUCCUUAGGGCAUGCCUGUUCGAGCGUCAUUUAAACCUCCAAGCCCUGCUUGGUGUUGGGUGCCUGUCCCGCCCCCGCGCGUGGACUCACCUCAAAUCCAUUGGCGGCGGCCCUUGCCUCCCUCUCGCGCAGCACAUUGCGCUUCUCGAGGCGCGGCGGACCGCGUCCAGCAAGCAACCGUCACACCGUCUUUGACCUCGGAUCAGGUAGGGAUACCCGCUGAACUUAAGC